GUUCAAUUCAGAAGUAUGCAUACAAAAAUUGGAAUGAUGCAGAGAUUAGCAUGGCUCCUGUGCAAAAAUGAUUUGCCAAUUCCUGAAGCAUUCCAUAAUUCA